rnacentral:misc_RNA from 1 species
GUUCAGCUCUGUUUGGAGCUGAUUGUGGAUCGGUGGUGCCGCCGGUGACACCGGAUAAGUCGUUGGGUUUAAAUGCAAGAAAUUUACAGAUUUGUAGACCCAAUUGUAAUAUUUUUCGGUAUAAGACGGAGACCCGGCAAUCAUUGCAGUCAUUGUCGCCGUUUGGGUUUGAGGAUCAGCUUCCGGGUUUUAGUCCUAGCCCGGUUAAAGCUAACCGGAAAGUUCCAAGAUCGCCUUUUAAGGUGUUGGAUGCGCCGGCAUUGCAAGAUGAUUUUUACUUGAACCUCGUGGACUGGUCGUCGCAUAAUGUGUUAGCUGUGGGGCUAGGGAGCUGUGUUUAUCUAUGGCAUGCAUCUAGUAGCAAGGUAGUGAAGUUGUGUGACCUAGGAAUUGAUGAUAGUGUUAGUUCAGUUGGUUGGGCACAACGGGGCACGCAUCUAGCUGUUGGAACAAGUAAUGGCAAAGUCCAGUUAUGGGAUUCCUCGCGCUGUAAGAGGAUAAGAACCAUGGAGGGUCAUCGAUUACGAGUUGGCGCACUUGCGUGGAGCUCAUCCAUGCUGUCUUCAGGAAGCCGAGACAAGAGUAUUCUUCAGCGUGAUAUACGUGCUCAAGAAGAUUUUGUCAGUAAGCUGAGUGGUCAUAAAUCAGAGGUUUGUGGGCUCAAAUGGUCUUAUGAUAACCGUGAAUUAGCUUCAGGUGGAAAUGAUAAUCGGCUUUUUGUAUGGAACAACCAUUCAACACAACCUGUGCUGAAAUACUGUGAGCAUACUGCUGCGGUUAAGGCCAUUGCAUGGUCCCCCCAUCUCCAUGGGCUUCUAGCAUCCGGUGGAGGCACAGCUGAUCGAUGCAUUAGAUUCUGGAACACCACCACUAAUACACAUCUCAGUUGCAUGGACACUGGCAGUCAGGUCUGUAAUCUUGUGUGGUCGAAGAAUGUCA